UACGGAGGGUGCGAGCGUUGUCCGGAAUCACUGGGCGUAAAGGGCGCGUAGGCGGCCUGAUAAGUCGGGGGUGAAAGUCAGCGGCUCAACCGCUGGACUGCCUUCGAGACUGUCGGGCUUGAGCAUGGUAGAGGCUGGCGGAAUUCCCGGUGUAGCGGUGGAAUGCGUAGAGAUCGGGAAGAACAUCGGUGGCGAAGGCGGCCAGCUGGGCCAUUGCUGACGCUGAGGCGCGACAGCGUGGGGAGCAAACAGG
rnacentral:rRNA from 1 species